rnacentral:rRNA from 1 species
UAUUGGGUGGAUGGUGCUGCAAGGAGAGCCUACAAACAUUUCCGAGAUUGCAUUUCAUUCGACACGACGUACCUCACCAAUAUGUACAAGAUGCCAUGCGCUCCGUUCAUAGGAAUAAAUAACCACAAUCAGUCAUUGCAGUUCGGCUGCGGGCUCGUUUGGAAUGAAGACAUGGAAGGGUACGUUUGGCUAUUCAAGACCUUCUUGGAGUGCAUGGAUGGACUUGCUCCGAUGAACAUAAUAACAGACCAGGAUUUCAGCAUGCGUGCAGGCAUAGAGGGGGUCUUUCCGUUAGCAGUGCACAUGCACUGCAGGUGGCACAUUAUAAAGAAGGCUGAGGAGACGCUAGAACCAUUCUUUGCUGACCGUCCAGAGCUCCACAAGGCAUUCGAGCUGUGCGUGGACCACAGCUUGACGGUGGAGGCGUUUGGAAGGAGCUGGAUGGCCAUGAUUGAAACAUAUCAAGUCCAAGACAACGAGACGCUUGCUAGCAUGUGGGAGAAGCGAAUGUACUGGGUGCCGGCCUACUUCAUGCAGUGCUUCUUCCCCUUUCUGCAGACUACGCAGCGCAGCGAGGGGUUCAAUGCUGUUUUGAAGCGGUACGUGAGCCCUGGCAACUCAUUGCUACAGUUUGCCAAGCAGUACACAGCUUUGCAACAAAAAAUUCUGGGAUCUGAGCUACAGCAAGAAGCUACCACCACGCUAAAGCAGCCGAGAUUGCUAACGUACUUACCGAUUGAGAGGCAAAUGAGCAAGAUAUACACAAACAAGAUCUUUAACAAGUAA